GAUGAAGAGCGCAGCGAAAUGCGAUAAGUAGUGUGAAUUGCAGAAUUCAGUGAAUCAUCGAAUCUUUGAACGCACAUUGCGCCCCUUGGUAUUCCAUGGGGCAUGCCUGUUCGAGCGUCAUCUGUACCUUCAAGCUUUGCUUGGUGUUGGGUGUUUGUCCCUCGGGACUCGCCUUAAAGUCAUUGGCAGCCAGUGUUUUGGUUUUGAAGCGCAGCACAAGUCGCGAUUCAAGGCUAUCCGCCCGCUUCCACAAGCCUUUUUCACUUUUGACCUCGGAUCAGGUAGGGAUACCCGCUGAACUUGAGCAUAUCAAUAAGCGGAGGA
rnacentral:misc_RNA from 1 species